GUUUCAAAGCCAUUUUCAUAACUUAUUUGAUUUAAACUUUCCCCACAGGCUUUUUCCAUCCCUGCGUUACAUGUUGUACACUACACUUUUUAUACGUCUUUGUUUACUUCGUAGACAAAGACAAAUGUAGUAACAAAAUGUAACGAAUAGCUUUUAUAACCCCGCUUUGCGACAUCUUAGCUUUUUUUAAUUCGCUAAGAUUACUCGCUCGUUGGUUUACAACCGAAAAGCAUCAAACCCUGUAAUCAAGGCACAAACAUCGACUUCGUCGAGGACAAUAACAACACCUACAGAAAGAUCUCCGAUCAUCCAAACAUUUUUUUAUUUAUCUAAAUAAAGUCAUAUCACCAACACAGAAGAUGGAAAAUUUAGGAAAGAUGGCUGCAACUCUACCCGACUAUGAGGACGACGUCCCCAUGUCUGAUGAGGAAAGGGAGCUCGACGCCAUUACUACCCCCAUCUCCGAUGAGCCAAUGGUAUCUGGGCCCCCUGAAGCUGCUCCUCCCUCGGAGGAAAAUCCAAUAUUAAAAAAUCCGUCUACGACGGUCCCUGAAGCUCCUUCAGGCGAACGAGUGGUCUCGCCACAACUUUCGGCAUCCUGUCGGAAGAACCAGGGUUCGAAAAAGGUUUGCGCAAUAUGCAACGGCACACAUCUUCUCAGGGACUGCAAAGAAUUUCGAGUGAUGCGGGUUGAGAGAAGGUUGAGGGUGGUCGCAUUUCACAAAUGCUGUGGCAAUUGUCUGUCCACUACUCACCCAAUUCGUGACUGUCCCAGUCCGUACAGUUGCAAAAUUUGUAAGAAAGGGCAUCACACAUUGCUCCACCAGCCAUCUCCCAACGAAGUUGCUCCAACGUCCGCACCUUAACCCAAUUCCCUUACCAGUCUCCAAUACUGCAGUCAAGCCUUCUAAGAAAUCACGGAAGCGUAGAUCUUCAAAACGUCCGUCCGUUAACUCUUCAAAAACUCCUGCUCCUGGUCCCUCUUUCACUCCCCGACACUGUCCUUCCGUUGUCCGCAGGCCCAUAGCUGCCAUCCAGUCCGUAGCCACGCUCGGGCCAACAGUGGUGGUGCAGCUGAUGUACAAUGGUCAUCGGAUACCUGUCAGAGCUCUCAUAGACCCGUGCGCAGGACAUAGUUUAAUCUGUCGGUCAUUGGCUGAUAGUAUUAAGCUGUGUCCUGUCUUCGUGGGACCCGAGAGGUUCUGCCAGUUCUCCGUUGCAUCAUCAUACGACAUCACUCAGCGGAUUUCAAUUUCGGCGCGAGUGAUUAAUCUUGGGAACCUUGUCGCUCCUACGGAGGCUGUGUCCGCCGGUCUGAAAGAACACUAUGCUGGCCUGCAGUUAGCCGAUCCUCGGUUCCAUGAAGCAGCAGCGGUUAGUGUCAUUCUGGGCCCUGAAGUCUACAAUAAAAUCAUGAAGCCGCAAACUUAUUCAAGCCCUGGUUUUCCAUGGGCCCAGCUCACCAUAUUUGGAUGGGUUAUAUCGGGCCCAUGUAACGUAUAAUGUGAGGGGCAAUCUUCAAUUGCCUCUGGCUCGUCGAGCCCCUGUCACAAGACUUUUCGAGUCACUUGCAUAUCCAAUAAAAAGUUAAUGGAUCUGGUCUCCUCGAGCCACAAUAUGAUCCUGCUUCUCGAGCAAAUAACUUUUACUAUUUAUAAAUAAAAUGUUUAUGAAAAAAUGAAAAAAAAAAAAACUGUAUAUACGUAUUUGUUUUAUUGUUAAUUUUGCAACACAGCUGGAUGUUGCAACGCGGGCGGCAAUGUAUAGUUUCAAAGCCAUUUUCAUAACUUAUUUGAUUUAAACUUUCCCCACAGGCUUUUUCCAUCCCUGCGUUACAUGUUGUACACUACACUUUUUAUACGUCUUUGUUUACUUCGUAGACAAAGACAAAUGUAGUAACAAAAUGUAACGAAUAGCUUUUAUAACCCCGCUUUGCGACAUCUUAGCUUUUUUUAAUUCGCUAAGAUUACUCGCUCGUUGGUUUACAACCGAAAAGCAUCAAACCCUGUAAUCAAGGUAAAUUAAAUUGUUUAACGAACAAUUUUAAAUAAAAUAUCAGUCCACGACUGUUUUGAAA